CCCUUAGAUGUUCUGGGCCACACGCGCGCUACACUGAUGCAUUCAACGAGCCUAGCCUUGACCGAGAGGUCCGGGUAAUCUUUGAAACUGCAUCGUGAUGGGGCUAGAUUAUUGCAAUUAUUAAUCUUCAACGAGGAAUGCCUAGUAAGCGUGAUUCAUCAAAUCGCGUUGAUUACGUCCCUUCCCUUUGUACACACCGCCCGUCGCUCCUACCGAUUGAGUGUGUUGGUGAGGAGUUUGGAUUGGCCUCGGAAGGUGGUUCGCCACCGUCCGUAGCUGAGAAGUUCUCCAAACCGCCCCACUUAGAGGAAGGAGAAGUCGUAACA
rnacentral:rRNA from 1 species